UACGAAGGUGGCAAGCGUUGUUCGGAUUCACUGGGCGUACAGGGUGUGUAGGCGGUUUGGUAAGCCUUCUGUUAAAGCUUCGGGCCCAACCCGGAAAGCGCAGAGGGUACUGCCAGGCUAGAGGGCGGGAGAGGAGACUGGAAUUUACGGUGUAGCGGUGAAAUGCGUAGAUAUCGUAAGGAAGACCAGUGGCGAAGGCGGGUCUCUGGACAGUUCCUGACGCUGAGGCACGAAGGCCAGGGGAGCAAACGGG
rnacentral:rRNA from 1 species